rnacentral:sRNA from 1 species
AGAUGCAGGGGCCAUGGCACUCUUAACACCCCAGGGAGUGAAAGAAGUCUUCCAAUUUCAGGCAGGGGGAUAGGGAUGGUAUUUCAGAACCUGAGGCCUGCUGGAGGUACACAAAACCUGGGCUGCAGUGGCCAGCAUGAGAACUCUCAGAGGAAAGAAAGUCCUAGAACAAGAGCAAGUCCCAGGAGGAGGGAGUGCUGCCCAGAAACCAAAGCACAGCUCUUCCCAGGCAGAUCACAAGGUCGGGAGCGCCUGCGGAGGCUUCUGAACUGGGAGGAGUUUGACGAACAGAGAGACUCCCGGAGGAGCAUCCUGCUGGACACCCUCUACGAGAGCAUCAUCUUUGCAGUGGGCAAAGGCUUCCCAUGGGUGGAGGUGGCCCAGGUGGUCAAGUUCACAGAAGAGCUGCUAAGGGAAACCAAAGACCACAGGCCUCCCUGGAGUCCUCAGCUGGAGAGUGAGGAUGACCUGGCCUGGAGAGGCUGGAGCUGCCAGAGAGGGGUCUGCGCCCUGUACAUCUUUGUCCCCU